rnacentral:rRNA from 1 species
GAUGAACGCUGGCGGCGUGCCUAAUACAUGCAAGUCGAGCGAACGGACGAGAAGCUUGCUUCUCUGAUGUUAGCGGCGGACGGGUGAGUAACACGUGGAUAACCUACCUAUAAGACGGGGAUAACUUCGGGAAACCGGAGCUAAUACCGGAUAAUAUUUUGAACCGCAUGGUUGAAAAGUGAAAGUCGGCCUUGCUGUCACGUAUAGAUGCAUCCGCGCUGCAUUAGCUAGUUGGUAAGGUAACGGCUUACGAAGGCAACGAUGCAUAGCCGACCUGAGAGGCUGAUCGGCCACACGGGAACUGAGACACGGUCCAGACUCCUACGGGAGGCAGCAGUAGGGAAUCUUACGCAAUGGGCGAAAGCCUGACGGAGCAACGCCGCGUGAGUGAUGAAGGUCUUCGGAUCGUAAAACUCUGUUAUUAGGGAAGAACAUAUGUGUAAGUAACUGUGCACAUCUUGACGGUACCUAAUCAGAAAGCCACGGCUAACUACGUG